rnacentral:rRNA from 1 species
CUACCUCAGGUCGGGGAUAACUCCGGGAAACUGGAGAUAAUACCGGAUAGUCCGUGAACGCUGGAAUGCGUCACGGUCCAAAGCUUUUGCGUCUGAGGAUGGGUCUGCGGCCGAUUAGGUAGUUGCUGGGGUAACGUCCCAACAAGCCGAUAAUCGGUACGGGUUGUGAGAGCAAGAGCCCGGAGAUGGAUUCUGAGACACGAAUCCAGGCCCUACGGGGCGCAGCAGGCGCGAAAACUCUACAAUGCAGGCAACUGCGAUAGGGGGACAUCGAGUGGCAUCCACCUUGGGUGCCUGUCCAACCGUCUAAAAAACGGUUGUUAGCAAGGGCCGGGUAAGACCGGUGCCAGCCGCCGCGGUAAUACCGGCGGCUCGAGUGGUAACCGCUAUUAUUGGGUCUAAAGGGUCUGUAGCCGGCCGGAUAAGUCUCUUGGGAAAUCCAGCUGCUCAACAGUUGGGCUUUCAGGAGAUACUGUUCGGCUCGAGACCGGGAGAGGUGAGAGGUACUUCAGGGGUAGGGGUGAAAUCUUGUAAUCCUUGAAGGACCACCAGUGGCGAAGGCGUCUCACCAGAACGGAUCUGACGGCAAGGGACGAAAGCUAGGGGCACGAACCGGAUUAGAUACCCGGGUAGUCCUAGCCGUAAACGAUACUCGCUAGGUGUCAGCCACGGUGCGACCGUGGUUGGUGCCGUAGGGAAGCCGUGAAGCGAGCCACCUGGGAAGUACGGCCGCAAGGCUGAAACUUAAA